GGAUUGGUGCCUUCGGGAACUCAGAACACAGGUGCUGCAUGGCUGUCGUCAGCUCGUGUCGUGAGAAUGUUGGGUUAAGUAGCCGUAACGAGCGCAACCCUUGUCCUUAGUUACCAGCACCUCGGGUGGGCACUCUAAGGAGACUGCCGGUGACAAACCGGAGGAAGGUGGGGAUGACGUCAAGUCAUCAUGGCCCUUACGGCCAGGGCUACACACGUGCUACAAUGGUCGGUACAAAGGGUUGCCAAGCCGCGAGGUGGAGCUAAUCCCAUAAAACCGAUCGUAGUCCGGAUCGCAGUCUGCAACUCGACUGCGUGAAGUCGGAAUCGCUAGUAAUCGUGAAUCAGAAUGUCACGGUGAAUACGUUCCCGGGUCUUGUACACACCGA
rnacentral:rRNA from 1 species